UUGUAUACCAAAAGAAGAAGAAGAAGAGGACCAAUUUGAUUUAAAUACAGGUCGAUAUAAUAACUUGCUUCGGUUCAUCGAAGUUAUGAACAUAGUAAAAUCACAAAUGUAUAUAUCAAUUAGAUCGUUCUCCAAUAAAGGAAAAAAUUCGACAUCAUCACAAUUGUUCCGACAUUCAUGUAAAACAUAUGCAACUGGACGUACACUAAUAAACCCCAAG
rnacentral:lncRNA from 1 species